rnacentral:rRNA from 1 species
GUCCACGCCGUAAACGAUGUCUACUAGCCGUUGGUUCCUUGAGGACUUAGUGGCGCAGCUAACGCAAUAAGUAGACCGCCUGGGAGUACGGUCGCAAGAUUAAACUCAAAUGAAUUGACGGGCCCGCACAAGCGGUGGAGCAUGUGGUUUAAUUCGACGCAACGCGAAGAACCUUACCAGGUCUUGACAUCCAGAGAACUUUCCAGAGAUGGAUUGGUGCCUUCGGGAGCUCUGAGACAGGUGCUGCAUGGCUGUCGU